rnacentral:rRNA from 1 species
GUUCACAUGGAUGGGCAGAUGACGAUGUUUCUGCCACCGAAUACAUUAGCAUGGGAUAAUGGAAUAGGACCCUGUCCUCCUAUUUUCAGUUGGUUUUGGCAGCGCGAGGACUAGGGUAAUGAUUAAUAGGGAUAGUUGGGGGCAUUAAUAUUUAAUUGUCAGAGGUGAAAUUCUUGGAUUUAUGAAAGAUUAACUUCUGCGAAAGCAUCUGCCAAGGAUGUUUUCAUUAAUCAAGAACGAAAGUUAGGGGAUCGAAGACGAUCAGAUACCGUCGUAGUCUUAACCAUAAACGAUGCCGACCAGCGAUUAGGAGACGUUGAAUACAAAACACCACCAUCGGCGCGGUCGUCCUUGGCGUCUGUCCCUUUCAACGGGGGCAGGCGCGAGGGCGGUUUAGCCCGGUGGCACCGGUGAAUGUCUCCCUAGCAGCUUGUGAGAA